GGAAUAAACCACAAAUUAAGCUUCUAACUUAAAUUUCAAGCGUUAAAUCGUUUUUAUUUCU
rnacentral:tRNA from 1 species